CAGCAGCCGCGGGAAUACGAAGGGGGCUAGCGUUGCUCGGAAUGACUGGGCGUAAAGGGCGUGUAGGCGGUUUUGACAGUCAGAUGUGAAAUUCCUGGGCUUAACCUGGGGGCUGCAUUUGAGACGUUAAGACUAGAGUGUGAGAGAGGGUUGUGGAAUUCCCAGUGUAGAGGUGAAAUUCGUAGAUAUUGGGAAGAACACCGGUGGCGAAGGCGGCCCCCUGGGCCAAUACUGACGCUCAUGCACGAAAGCGUGGGGAGCAAACAGGAUUAGAUACCCCAGUAGUCCCUGUCUCUUAUAC
rnacentral:rRNA from 1 species